rnacentral:rRNA from 1 species
GUUGACCUCGGAUCAGGUAGGGAUACCCGCUGAACUUAAGCAUAUCAAUAAGCGGAGGAAAAGAAACCAACAGGGAUUGCCCUAGUAACGGCGAGUGAAGCGGCAACAGCUCAAAUUUGAAAUCUGGCGCAAGCCCGAGUUGUAAUUUGUAGAGGAUGCUUCUGGGCAGCGGCCGGUCUAAGUUCCUUGGAACAGGACGUCAUAGAGGGUGAGAAUCCCGUAUGCGACCGGUUGGCACCCGUCACGUAGCUCCUUCGACGAGUCGAGUUGUUUGGGAAUGCAGCUCUAAAUGGGUGGUAAAUGUCAUCUAAAGCUAAAUACCGGCCAGAGACCGAUAGCGCACAAGUAGAGUGAUCGAAAGAUGAAAAGCACUUUGGAAAGAGAGUUAAAAAGCACGUGAAAUUGUUGAAAGGGAAGGGCAGGCAACCAGACUUGUCGGCGGUGUUCCGCCGGUCUUUUGACCGGUCUACUCGCCGCCGGCAGGCCAGCAUCAUCUGGGUGCGCCGGAUAAAGGCGCGGGGAAUGUAGCUCCUCGGAGUGUUAUAGCCCCGCGCACAAUACGGCGCCGCCCGGGUGAGGUCCGCGCUUCGGCUAGGAUGCUGGCGUAAUGGUCGUCUGCCGCCCGUCUUGAAACACGGACCAAGGAGUCUAACAUCUAUGCGAGUGUUCGGGUGUCAAACCCCUACGCGUAAUGAAAGUGAACGGAGGUGGGAGCUUCGGCGCACCAUCGACCGAUCCUGAUGUCCUCGGAUGGAUUUGAGUAAGAGCAUAGCUGUUGGGACCCGAAAGAUGGUGAACUAUGCCUGAAUAGGGUGAAGCCAGAGGAAACUCUGGUGGAGGCUCGCAGCGGUUCUGACGUGCAAAUCGAUCGUCAAAUUUGGGUAUAGGGGCGAAAGACUAAUCGAACCAUCUAGUAGCUGGUUCCU